rnacentral:rRNA from 1 species
UACGGAGGGUGCAAGCGUUAUCCGGAUUCACUGGGUUUAAAGGGUGCGUAGGUGGGCAGGUAAGUCAGUGGUGAAAUCUCCGGGCUUAACCCGGAAACUGCCAUUGAUACUAUCUGUCUUGAAUACCGUGGAGGUGAGCGGAAUAUGUCAUGUAGCGGUGAAAUGCUUAGAUAUGACAUAGAACACCAAUUGCGAAGGCAGCUCACUACGCGAAUAUUGACACUGAGGCACGAAAGCGUGGGGGAUCAAACAGG